AAAUGGUGGCGCUGUUUGGAAGAUUUGAAAACAACACGAUUGGCAAUUUAUUUGGAUUUGAAGAUCCUGGUCCUGGCUGAAAUUUAGAGUAUUGCAGCUGUAGCCUGUAUACCAUACAUUCAACAUGAAAAGGACUGUCAGGAUGCUGCAUAAAAUGGUCUUAGCUAGAGCCUAGAAUGUUAAUUUCUUGGGAAUAUGCUACAAGGAACUGACGGGAGCAGUUUUUCUUACCAAUCAUAGAAGCAGUAAGAGACAGCCAAAGAAGUACUCAAACACUUGACAAACCCAGAAAGAUCUAGAAGAAAAGAUUGGAACAGAUUGUAGCUUAAUUGUUAAAACUAUUAAAGUGAAUUUAAACUGCACUUGAACUGUAUUGUUGAAAUAAAAUAUCUGAAGUAUUUAAUAUUGUCUUGAUAUUUUGUUAAACUUGGUUACUUUGCUUUAUAUCCAAAAGUUAAAGAAUGGUGGGUUUUCAACGUUGAAAUGACAUUUAAACUUCAACGUUGUGACAACGUUGAAGCUGCAACGUUGUAUCAACGUUGAAAUUUCAACGUUGUUUCAACUUUCAAAUCCGAAUAUAAAUCCAACCUUAUUUCAACGUUGAAAUCUGACCAUAA